CCUACGGGCGGCAGCAGUGAGGAAUCUUUGUCAAUGGGCGCAAGCCUGAACCAGCCAAGUCGCGUGAGGGAUUACGGCCCUACGGGUUGUAAACUUCUUUUGUCAGGGAGCAAUUUAGUCCACGUGUGGGCUUAGCGAGAGUACCUGAAGAAAAAGCAUCGGCUAACUCCGUGCCAGCAGCCGCGGUAAUAAGGGGGAUGCGAGCGUUAUCCGGAUUUAUUGGGUUAAAGGGGUGCGUAGGCGGGAUAUAAAGUCAGCGGUAAAACUGCGGGGCUCAACGCCGUAGUGCCGUUGAAACUGAUGUGCUUGAGUGAGCGAGAAGUAUGCGGAAUGCGUGGUGUAGCGGUGAAAUGCAUAGAUAUCACGCAGAACCCUGAUUGCGAAGGCAGCAUACCGGCGCUCAACUGACGCUGAGGCACGAAAGUGAGGGUAUCGAACAGGAUUAGAUACCCCGGUAGUC
rnacentral:rRNA from 1 species